GAUGAACGCUGACGGCGUGCCUAAUACAUGCAAGUCGAGCGAACGGACGAGAAGCUUGCUUCUCUGAUGUUAGCGGCGGACGGGUGAGUAACACGUGGAUAACCUACCUAUAAGACUGGGAUAACUUCGGGAAACCGGAGCUAAUACCGGAUAAUAUUUUGAACCGCAUGGUUCAAAAGUGAAAGACGGUCUUGCUGUCACUUAUAGAUGGAUCCGCGCUGCAUUAGCUAGUUGGUAAGGUAACGGCUUACCAAGGCAACGAUGCAUAGCCGACCUGAGAGGGUGAUCGGCCACACUGGAACUGAGACACGGUCCAGACUCCUACGGGAGGCAGCAGUAGGGAAUCUUCCGCAAUGGGCGAAAGCCUGACGGAGCAACGCCGCGUGAGUGAUGAAGGUCUUCGGAUUGUAAAACUCUGUUAUUAGGGAAGAACAUAUGUGUAAGUAACUGUGCACAUCUUGACGGUACCUAAUCAGAAAGCCACGGCUAACUACGUG
rnacentral:rRNA from 1 species